rnacentral:rRNA from 1 species
GCAGCAACGCCGCGUGCGGGAUGACGGCCUUCGGGUUGUAAACCGCUUUCAGCAGGGACGAAGCAACACGUGACGGUACCUGCAGAAGAAGCACCGGCCAACUACGUGCCAGCAGCCGCGGUGAUACGUAGGGUGCGAGCGUUGUCCGGAAUUAUUGGGCGUAAAGAGCUUGUAGGCGGUCUAUUGCGUCGAAAGUGAAAACUCAGGGCUCAACCCUGAGCCUGCUCUCGAUACGGGUAGACUUGAGGGAUGUAGGGGAGAACGGAAUUCUUGGUGGAGCGGUGGAAUGCGCAGAUAUCAGGAGGAACACCGGUGGCGAAGGCGGUUCUCUGGACAUUUCCUGACGCUGAGAAGCGAAAGCGUGGGUAGCAAACAGGCUUAGAUACCCUGGUAGUCCACGCCGUAAACGGUGGGUACUAGGUGUGGGGGACAUUCCACGUUCUCCGUGCCGCAGCUAACGCAUUAAGUACCCCGCCUGGGGAGUACGGCCGCAAGGCUAAAACUCAAAGGAAUUGACGGGGCCCCGCACAAGCGGCGGAGCAUGCGGAUUAAUUCGAUGCAACGCGAAGAACCUUACCUGGGUUUGACAUAUGCCGGAAAGGCCUAGAGAUAGGUCCCCCCUUG